AAAGACGAACAACUGCGAAAGCAUUUGCCAAGGAUGUUUUCAUUUAUCAAGAACGAAAGUUAGGGGAUUGAAGACGAUUAGAUACCGUCAUAGUCUUAACCAUAAACCAUGCCAACUAGAGAUGGGAGGUCGUUACCUGAAGGACUCCUUCAGCACCUUUUGAGAAAUUGAAAGUUUUUGGGUUCUGGGGGGAGUAUGGUCG
rnacentral:rRNA from 1 species